rfam:Aeromonas hydrophila subsp. hydrophila ATCC 7966, complete genome.
CCAGGUAAAGGGCAAACCGGUCGAGAUGCCGGGACGCAAUGCCUCCGGUCUUCAGAUCGUGCGAUCCAGAUAGCGGGGCUUCCCAG